rnacentral:misc_RNA from 1 species
AGAGAGAGAGAGAGAGAGAAGGGCUUAAAGAGAAAGACGAGUGAGAGACUUGUUUAGGGUUUUGAAAAGAGGGUUUUUAUAGUGGGUGCAAGAGAAAAUGGAACGUGAGGAGGGUACGAGAUAAAGACAGCUUUUGCACUUCGUUUUAGGCUUGUGAAUGUUGCAGCAUUGAAAUGGCUUUUCAAAGUAAGCAGAGAGAGAGAAGUAAGCUUUUUUUCUGCUUUUGCAACAGACAGAGAGAGAGAGAGAGAA